CGCGUAGGCGGUCUUGCAAGUCCCGUGUGAAAUCCCUCGGCUCAACUGAGGAACUGCACGGGAAACUGCUUGGCUUGAGUUCGGGAGAGGGAAGCGGAAUUCCGGGUGUAGCGGUGAAAUGCGUAGAUAUCCGGAGGAACACCGGUGGCGAAGGCGGCUUCCUGGACCGACACUGACGCUGAGGCGCGAAAGCUAGGGGAAGGCAAACG
rnacentral:rRNA from 1 species